CUGGUUGAGUGCGGAAUGGAG
rnacentral:siRNA from 1 species